ACCGCGCCUGCGCGCGCCGCCCACCCCUACCCGCGCGCGCGGCGCGUGCGCGCGCCCGGCCCCCGCUCCCAGGGCACGAGGUGGCCGGGAGCGAGGGCUGGGGCUUCUCUGUCCCCUCCGUACCGGGGCGGGUGGAGCCGGGAGGGCAGCGGGGAGCGGUGCCCCCCCCCCCGAGACACACACACACACACCGGCCCCGAAAAAGGGCAGCGUAGCGCCCCGGCAAAAGCGGGACAAGGCAAAGCUGUCUGUCCCAGCAUCACUCGGCGUUCCGGGUAACAUAAGCACACCUGCGUUUCCUCUUAACAGACUUUCCUCUGUUAAGGCCUACAGAUAAAUCUGACUUCAUCCCCAGAACAGUUAUCAUAAGAACAGCACCAUUAUACAGAGGCAUAGAUUUUCCCUUGUCUCACUUGACUUCAGCCUGCGUCUGGAAAAAAAAUCUUUUCCUCUGACUUUGCAUGGUUGAAAGUCUUCAUCAACAGUGUCACUGGAGAUGAAAAACCAGGAAAGGAAAUACAGUCAUGAAUUUGGACAUAAUGUGGCUGGAUCUAAUUUCAUGUACAUCGUGUAGCUAGACCUACUCUCAUGGACAUCAAAUCUGUGUAGAGCUUUCCAGUAGUUUUGGAAGAUGACUACUCAUAUGGUGUCAUAAAAACUGUAUACACCUGCUGAAGUAAGAGAUGGAAGAGAGUAAAAGGAGAAAGGAAAGGACAAAAAGACCAUGAAGGAAAACACCGCAGUAGCCACGAUGCUGGUAGAGAAAUGACUUAAAGCAGCAAAAUGGAGCCUGGUAGCCAAGAAGACCAGACAAGGAGGCAGUUAGUGGAGAUGCUGAGCAGUUUUUCAGAAAGCCACUCAGGAUGAGAAGAUACAGGAAAAAAAAGGCACUGCUCUGUCUGUUGGCAUGAUGUUUUGAUGAAAGAAAAAAAAAACGAGAGAAAGCAACUUUUUUUUAACAAAGUUUGUAUUAGAAUUGUAUAGCUGCAACAAAAUGCAGAGCACUGAACAGUAUGAUACAAGUCUAAGUGAAACUUAAGGAGCAAACUGGUACACUGAAAGUGGCAUCAGUAUUAAAUUCUUCUUCCCUUUAAUGAACUGGGUUUCAGGUAUUGCUUCAAGGGAUGCUACUGAAAACAUUCCUUAGGCUAUCAAACAGCCAUGAGAUAAAAAUGAGUUCUUGCAGCUAACAUGAGGAUAUUCUUCUCAACAGACAAGGUAUAAUGCUGAGGGAUGGGUGUGCACCCACACGCCUUAACAGUUUUCAGAGUAACAGCCCUCUCCUUCUUUAGCUUUCUUCAUUUUGUAUUUGUUCCUUAAAAUAAUCAUGAGGAUAUUAAGAAAAAAACAGUGAAAUAAUAAAUUGGUGGAUCCAACUGUCUAUUGAAAAGAGAGUUAGAGAUGACUAAUUUCAGGAAAUCAAACAAUUUACUUAUUUGUCAAUGUCUGAUUUUGGAGCUUAAAUUCAGUAACCUAGUCAAAAAAAUGGCCAUCAGUCAUUUAGUUCCCCUUCUGAAUGUUAUUUUCUUCUCUUUCUCUCAUGGUAAGUUCACAGAGUAAAAGCUGAUUGUGAGAAAACAUUAAAAUGGAAAACAUUUUGACUAAUAAUGUGAUUUCCAAUGAUUUCCAAUCUUCUGAAAUAAUUUUAACCCUUAAGCUUUUUUCCAGAUCCAUGAUAUAGUCCUCCAGAAUUGCAAUGUUUGUAAAUGUUUACAGUUUAAGGUGUUCCACAGGGAGGUACAAACAAGUACAGCCAUGCUCUGCAGCCACCCAAGCUACUCAUGCUAUGUGGCUCAUGUACUUGGGAAAUGCAGAUGUAGCCUUUAGACCUUCUAGAGAUCAUUAUGCUGUGAUCAAAGUGAUAACGUUACUGAUGCAUUCCUGUAACAUUUUAGUAGUAAGUAGUGUCUUCUGCCUAAAAAGCGUGUAAUUCCACUGUGAAAAUCCAAGUCUUCUCUUUUAGAAAAUACUUGCUUAAGGGAUUCAAUAGGACCAACUGAUCAUUGUGAGCAGCGAUUAGUCUUUUUAAAGAUACAGCCACCUUACAAAGUAAGAAUUCUUUCCUAAAUAAAACCUAUUGACCUUCAUUUUACAGCAGCUUUUCUGGUAAAAAGAGACAGAAUUUUGAUCUGAAAGUGAAAAAAAUUGUGAAAACCAACACAGUCCUUUAUUUAAGCUAUAUGUCAGUAUAAUUUAUUGCAUAGUAGCAGGCAUAUUGUUACUGCUUAGUGAAAAGUACCCAAAGGCACCAUAGGAGGAAUCUCUUGUUGCAAAGUGUAAUGGUUUGAAGCAUUUCAUUGGAAUAGUCCCUCCCACCCCCACGUUUUAAUAUGUCUUGCUUAGAAUUGAAGUAAAAAUGCGAAUAUCUGUUGCUGCGUUCAAGGCCUACUACAUGUCCUUACAGUAUCACAAAUGAAAUAUGCCAUUACUUUUAGUGAAAAUAGUUCAUGUCGAGGGCUAAAGCCACUUGUGUGUUAAAUCAGUAAUAAUUUAAAAAUCACUUGUGAUGAGGGGAGAAAAAUAUGCAUUACUAAGGGAAUAUAUGUAGAGCCAUAUGUCAUUUUUAUGGACAUGCCUAUACCCUCCUGUGAACUUUCAAAAUUUCAUUGUUUCAGGUAAUAACCAAAACAUUUCAAUCAAGCAAGUACCUAUUUGUAUGGGGGAACUGCCACCAAUCAUUCUUUGUGGAAGAUGUUGUUCUUAGCAAAUCUCUACUUCUUCCAACAUGAAGUCAUUUUCUUAAUAUUGCUUGAGUGGAUAGAUAAGUCAAAGAAAUUGCAAAGCAAGUUCCUUAAUUUUGCAAGAGAUAUCCUCUUGGUACUAGAUAAAUUUAUGGUGACUUUGAAACAAUGUAUUCUUUUACAGCUUUAAAUAGAAAUACAUCCCAAGCACUAUGGAAAUUGAGAGCAAAGAGGGAGAAAGUUUAGUUUAAGGUCUAAUUAAUUCAAUAUAAGAUUAACUCAGAAUUUUAUACUAUAAUCAAAUUUAUAUCUUGUACAAGGUCAGCAUGUGGCAGAAAACAGAGUUGGAGGAAAUUAUAACAAUGACAUCCUGGUUGCUGACCUAGGGACAAUUUGUAAUUGCAAAUAUUAAGCACUGUCUGCUUUUGUUGAAACACAUGUGCUUUGGAUUUAUUAGUAUUAUAUAUGUUUAAGUUUAUUCCAGCUAGUAGUUGUAGAGACUGAUGGUGAAAGAUCAGCAGGAAGUUCAAGUACAGAAGCUCAAGCUUAUCAAACAGCUUGUGCAAGAUCUACUCUGUCUGGGAGCUGACUACAAGGGUGGUUUGGAAUGAAGACAUCAGUCUUUAUGUAGUGGACACAAAAAUAACAGCUGUGAUACUAAAUAGGAGGCCUGUAAGAAGCUGAUGUGAAUGAUCAGGGGUGACACAUGGAUAAUCCACAGAAAGUAAACACAUUAGAGUGCUGAGACUGAAAGGUAUGAAGAAUUGGGUUGAAGGAGAUGGAAAGUAAAGGAGAAGGGGAGAAAAGCAAAAAAAAUUAAUAAAAAGUAGGGUUAUGAUCUGAAACUCAAUUCAAACCCCUUAUGCACUAUGUGGUAUUUCAUAUGCCGGCACAAAUUUAAUAUAGUUAGCUGGAUCCCAUAAGAACAUUCUGAAAGAAUCUGUUUCUAAAUUUAAUUUGCUUUGCCGAUUGGUACAAAUGUUUGAGGAAAAAUAAGCGUGUGGAAUAUUAAUGGGAAAAAUCCAUGUAUAUAUGAGAGUUCAUUUUGAACAUAUUUUCAAGUCAGGGAAAGGAAAUACUGAUGUAGGAUGAUCUGACUAAAUUACCACAGUGCAACGCAGCUUAAACUGCAGAUAUUGGCUUAGAUAGUUUUUCACCGACUACAUUUAAUUUAUAAUACAUUUUAGGCAAUCAUUAUCUACAAACACAAAGAAAUGAAAAAUGGACAUACUAAUGGAGCAAAUGAUUUGCUGCAAAUUACCCAUUCCAGAUCAGAUUUUCAAAGGCUCACACAUGUCUAACACCCACGAAAGGCCAAAUUUUUCUAUUUUUAAAAUUAUUAUUAUUAUUGUUGUUGUUGUUAUAGUCAAAUGGUUAAUUCAGUUUGGUAAAACAUGGAAAAGUGGCUAGGAGAGUCCUUCUAAGUCUGUGAAAUCAUCUAGAAAACUCUUAUGAAAAAUUCUUCUUCUGCCUUAUGACCUGGGCACAUCAAGUGCUUUUUUUAGUGAAUACUAUUUAGUUUUAAAGAAAGGAAAAGUUUUUUUUUAAACUUGAGUUCAGUUCUUGAUACAAGAUGCUAAAUCUUUAUGAAGGUCAUAAGAAAGCAGUGGAUUAGCACAGACUGAGUAGUUAAUAUAACCUUCUUGUGUCACUUGGGGAGUACGCGUAGUUAACAGUGGGCACAAAUUGCUGCAUAAUUCAAACUGUCAAUUUUCAGAUCUGAAGCUAUGAAUUCUGUUGUCUGAAGAAGUUGUAUGUUCUAGAUUUUUAUUAUCUCUGUGGAGAUUUCUACCUGGAACCUUUUUGAAGGUCUCAGGAAAAAAAAAAAAAAAAAGAUUUUUCUGUCCUCCCCUUUUUGUCACUCUGCAUUUUGCUGAUACUGAGAUGAAGUCACUUCAUCAAUAAGGCCUUUCAGAGAAAGGAGGUUAUAGCUGCUGUUUAUUUACUCUGAGGACUGGCCAAGUUAUCAUCUAACAAAGAUUAUUGCAUCUUUGUACAUCUGUGUUUAUACCCCUAAUAGCAUAGCUGCGUACUAUGCAAGGAAAUUGCAAGUAAAAUGGAAUUUUCAAGUUAUAUAAAUUCCCAUAUAUAUGUAAAUAUUCAUAACCUCACUUCGUGCUGCUACAACAAAUUGCAGUCAUUGAGAAAGCAUUUUUUUUGGUGGGGAUGGAAGUGUUGAUUUUUAAAUAUGUGGGCAGAAAGAGCUGACUUUAUCCAAUUUACAAAGCUCUCUUUAGGACAGAUUAACAAUUGAAAUCUAAAGUCAAUAUAGAUAACUCUGAGUCUUUCUGGAAACAUUUGAAUUCAGAUUCCCUUGCAGAAUGCAAAAAAAUUAGUAUAUUCUGUCUAGCUCUUUAUGGAAGAGGUGGAAACAAUGUGGUUUAUGCUGUUAGAUUGAGUGUUAUAAUUCAGCUGUGAAGUAGGACUUAUUUUCAGUUAUGUGAACACAGUAACACUAACCGAGGUUACGAAUCCACACAUGAUGAAAAGUACUCCUAUGUACUGAUUUAUCAAAGCAAUCUGCAAGAUGUAUGCACAUAUCUGCUAAUUUUUUAAAACUGGGAUGUGAACGUUUUAUCUUCUGUACACAGCUUUGAAAUGCAUUCCUUCCUUCUCCCUUUUGCUGUUUUUGAAACCUCUAUCAGUCUGUAACAUGUGCUUACAUCAUUAAAAGUUACUGAUCAAGAAAUUUGCACUGAAGAUUCCUGGCUUGUGAACAUUUAUACAUCGAACAGAAUCCUUAGAGCCAUGUGGUAGUGAUUCUGGAAGCACAUUUUUAGGGGAAAAGCAAAAACUUGAAAGUUGUAUAUACAUGAGUACAGCUUGUCUUGGUGAUUUUAAAAGCAAAGAAAAAUGGCAAUUUAUUUAUGCUUAAUUUUCAAAGAUUUAUACUUCAGUUCAUGAGAUGUCUAUGAUGACAGACAUCUUAAUGCUCAGGUUUGCUUCCAGCGAUGAUAUUUUUUGUUGCCAGAUCUGUCCUCCCUCCAUCCACCUUGGUAACAUAUACUAAGCUUGCUUAUACUGUGUUUCUUGGAACAUACAAGCUAGCUAUGGUGUAUUUUUUGUACCAUGUUGAAUGGAGCAAUUUUAAUACUAGCCUGUAGCCAUCUUCCAGCUUUCUAGUGACCCUAAGGUUGGAAAUGAUUACAGAGCAGCCUCCUAUGUGGUCUUGAGGGUAAAAGUCAAAGUUGCUGACUAAACUAAAGUUUAGCUCUAUUAAGUGUUGCAUAAACUGGACAGGCAUAUUGCCAUGUUUAUGGCUCGGUUGCUCAUGCUUCAGAACAGAUUGUUGGAGGUUGCUUUGGGAAUUUCUGUGUUCACAGUGUUCGGAUUUGGAACAAUACAUAGCUGGUGCGUCUGUCAUGACGCAUUCUACCACCUACUGUCUUGCUCCUACUGCACAAAUGGUAUUCCAGGAGAAGAACACCUAGUGUAUAGGCAUCAGAUGGCAGUAGUAAUUCCCAGACUUUCAUUUGAGGAGGCAGAUGAUCUUGGACUUACAUACGGAAUUAGCAUGGCUGCUCUUGCAUCAGAAUAGUGAAUAAGAUUUGGAAACUGUCAAAUGUAGUCUGGUUCUGGUUCAUAGCUAGCCAUUUUGCUGUGGGCAUUUCAUUUGUUAGGACGAUUGUGGUGGAGGCUUGGGGUGCACUUCAAUGUUUAUCGGCAGACUGUGGUAAUUGGAAACAUGCCUGAAAUAAUAACUUUUUUCCAAAGAAUGGGUGUCCAGAUAGCUUUAAGGCAUGUACGAAGGCAACAGAAGGUCACAGAAUGGUAAAUUAUAAUCUUUAAAUUAAAAAUAGUUUGUAAGUUUGAAUGGCCAGCAAUUUUACAUCAGUGUUGUGUGGGAUUGAGGGGUUAGAGACUAUACAUUACCAACCAAAACUCCAUAUCCAUCUUUCAGGUUAUAUAACUUAUUUCAGAAAAAAAAGCUAUUUAGGAAAUUCUUGAAUGGAAAAGUGUUUUCAAGCAAUUGAAAGUGUCUUCUCAAAGUGUAAACUUGGGGAUUACACAAAGUAAUGCUCUCACUUAGUUUCUGCCCUAAACUAAAGUUGAUUUUACCUCACAGAAGCAAAAGUUCUCUCAGCUUCACACUCACUAAUAUCCUUUGAGAAACCCCUUUACCCUGGAUACUUUUGUAGUGGUAAUGAUAACGGGUUGCCCUUUCUUUCCUAGGCUUCAGCUCCAAGGCAUUUGCCAUUACUGCUGACCAUUUUGCUUAUUCUAGUUAGUUGAAAACAUUGUUUUUGAGCUUUUGUGUCAGUUCGCAUUCACAUAGGAAAACAUGGAAUGGGAUAUCUGCAUCCCACUGCAGAUAUUGUCCAUAUUAUAGGCAGAUGAGUUAUUCUCACUGUUGGAGAAAGCUAUGGUCAUGGAUGAAGACCUGUGAUCCUCUUUGCUCCUGUAUGAGUCAGGGACAGACAUACACACAUACAUUAUGUAUAGAUAUGAUAAAGAUUACAGAUUAGGAUCACUAUUCUAAAUGACUUGUUUCAUUUCCUUCCAUGUGACACAUGCUAAAGAACCCUAACACUAGUGCAAAUCCUGAAGUUACAUCCUGGAAGCAUACACUGUCUCUGUGAUAGGGAAAAUGUGGCCUUCUACUUUACUGGAGUUUGUAAGGGCACAAUAUAUAUGCUUAAGAGGGCACUCUACUGGCUAUUUUUUGUAAUUUUCUUGUGCCUUCUGCCUGGUAAGUCAAACCACAUCUGGUUGGUGGACUGGAGCCUCUAGGUACGUCUGGCAACCUGGCUUUGCAACCAGAGGGAAAAAGAGGAGAACCACCAUUGCAUUAUUUGGCUGUUAUGUGCCAGAGAUGCUGCUGGGGGCACAUAUAUUAGCUGAGGGGAAAAGAGGCAGGAGGUACUUUCCCUCAUCUUCUCAGUAAUUUCAAAGGCGGUCCUGUGGUUUCUGUGUGCGCUUAAAAUGUGUCUAUCUUUUAUUUUGUGAGUACUUUAAAUCCAUUUUUUAUGGUCUUGACUUUGAUUUGUGUAGAAAUCUUUUGAGUCCUGCCUUGAUAGAUCAGAGCUUUUAAUCUAAGUCUAGAUUUUAUUUGGAAAAAUCUAGAGGAUCCAAGGAGAAUAUGCUCCUUUUCCCACUAAGUAUGCUCACUCACCUUUUACAACAGCUCAGACCUUGUAGAGUAGAAAUUAUGACAAAUCUGUGCAUAGUGCAAGCUGGUGAUGAUCCAUUUUGAGGGUUUUUAAAGACCUUACUUCCAGAAAUGUAAUCUUUUUCUAUUUAAAAAUCUAAACCUUUUCUGUAAAAAUCAUGUUACUGAUGAUUUGGAAUAUGGAGUCAAUUCUUUUUUGUUGUGCUUCCCAAAUAUCUCUCAUCAUCUCUCCGAUCCACUUUUACCAAAGCACAUUCUGCUCUCUUAGCAUAUAUUUUAUUUCCAGAACCCAUGCAAGGGGAAGCUGGGGGCAGUGCUGAGUUAUGCUGAGAAGAUAAAUCUGUGAGAAUCUUGACAAAUUUGCAGUAGCUGCAAGGUAGAAAUCACUACCGAGAUUAAAUUUGUGUUUGGAGACAGGAUAGAGAUUGAACCAAAAUGCAAAAAAUUAACUGAAUGACUAGAUUAACUAAUUACCAUAAUUAUCUUGCAGUCUCAUGAUUACAAUGAUGGUUGCUGAAAGGUAGUUAGAAAUCAUAGGGUUCAGAGUGGGAUCUCAUAGGAUCUCCCUUUGAAAUUCCUGCUAUGCCUGUGAGAUAUCUGAUACUGACUUCCAUUGGUAGUAUAAAUUGAAUGUCCUAAUAUGUACAUUUCCAUUUUCUACUAAAAUAAAUUUGGACAUGCAGUGAGCCACUCUGAUUACUAGCUAGUGCCAAGCAAAAUGAAUGUUAUAGUGUGAGCAGCUAUGUUUUCUUGGAUGUUUUUUCUUCUUUUCAUUUACAUAUAAGUGAUGAAUUGUUCCAAAAUAGUAACAGCAAGACUUGGAUUUUUUUUUUUUUUUUGUGGUAAUAGAUCUGUUCAAUACAUCUUCAGUAAAAUCCACUUUCAAAAAGCUUCUCAUUUCUUUUCCAUCGCUUCCCUGUGAAGGGAUUGCAUUUAAUGCCAUAGGCUGGGCCAUCUGUACAGUAUGAUUAUGAAAUGAUGAAUGUCUUUCGCUGUGUGAGCUUCUACUUGACAAAUAGUGUACAGUCAUUAAUUCGCCCCAGCUCCUUUACCAGUCAUCCAAAUUUAGCAAGGACAGUACUCACUAUUGUCAUAUCUUUCUGCAGAGCAUACAGAUCAGUCUGGAUUGGAGCAGGUUAAUGACUAGCUCAAACUCUGUAAUAUCCUAAUUUUACAGCAGAAAUAUGACCUAACAGAAACAGCCAGUAAUUCACUUUCCCUGACUGCAGAGGACUUGGUCUUCCAGAUCCAUAUAAACUUAAUCCCAUCUUUACCAUUAAACACUGAGCUCUACCUUAUCUCCAAUGAAGUCAGUGAAACAGUGUUCAGGGCUUGGAGUAUAAGCUCUUUGCUGAACUGGAGCCUUUGGUUUGACCUUAUAAAAGGAUUCAGACCCUUAUAUUUACACAAGGCUUUCUUCAGUCUUUCAUAUCUCAAGGUUUAGACUAUUUUUUCUAAAUGCUGUUUAUUCAGGGGUUUUUUUAUAGUCUUUGGUAGGAGUUGAGUAUAUUGUUUUUAAGAGGAACUGGAGAACUGAUUCUCAUUUUGGUUGAGUGUCUGGAAUGAAAGCUCCGCAAGCAUAGGCUGCCUUCAAGAUAAACAUUAUGUUUCGGCUUUUGCCUGAAAAGCAACACCAUUUGAAUGCCUUUUCAGCUGUUGUCCUCAAUUGUAGUUCCAGCAUGAAGAGGAAAUGCGGUGAUAUGAAAAGAACUGAAAAGGUACUAAAAACAUUAGUAUUUUAGAAUUCUAAGUUCUAAUAUUUUGUUUGAGUGUGGGACAAAUAUUUACAAAGGGCAUUGUUGUAAAUAAUCAUUGUUGAUGUGUUUCCUGCAGAUGAGACAAAGAUUCAUGGGAGCAUUCUUUUUUCUCUAAUUCCUUUUUGAGUGAUCUUCUAUUAAAAUAUUAUCUUUCUGCUGAAAUCUGUACAAGUCUCACAUUAAACUAAAUUAAUGUCACUACACAUCAUAAAAACAAAAUUAUACAAAAGAAAAGGUAAUAAUCCGUGACUAAGGACAAAUGUGGGGCAUUUAUAUAUGCAUCACAAACAACUGACAAUGUCAAUCUCCAAUACACAAUGUUAAGAAAUCCUGACCCAGAGUCAUCUCUAGUGUCUAAUUACUCUGCACACAGCUCUUGUUUUUAUCUUCUCUGCUAAAUAAGUUCCUGCAUGGGCAGCCAGAGGAAGUGGUGAACCACCCCCACGGAAGACUUUAUAUUUGGUUUUAAGAAUAGUUUUUUACAAGCUUGCUGUGGUUUCUUAAGCAUCUACUGCUAAUAUUUUACCUUUUCUUUUCAAGUGGAAAAAAAAUCCUAAAAGUGGCAAAAAAUUAGAGUUGUUGCUAGUAUCCAAAUUAUGCAUUAGGUUUGAUAGCGUUUCUGUUAUCAGAAAAAGGAAGUGAUUUAGGCAAUUCUUUGAUAUACUCCAAGUUGCUGAUGUGAUAUUGCUAUACAAAAAUUAGUAAAAAAUCCUCUGUGUUUCCUGUUGAAGUGUAUUUCUAGGUGAAAGGUUCUAUGCUACUGCAUUGUGGAAGUGUGCAUUGUAUUGUGUCAUGACCUUUCCUGGUGUAUAAUCUCCAAGGCUUUCAUUACUGAACAUUUAAUUUAACUUGAGAGACAAACCUACUCUCCAACCUCAGUUCUUACUAAUACAUUGGGAAAACAGUAUCAGCAUGUAACAGCAUGGGAUGCUUAUCUUCUUAAUUCAGAAGGGUUGUUGCUUGACAAGAGAACCGUGUUGGUAAAUCUUGAUCCCUCACUACUACUCUUUCUGUACUCUGCAUAGUUUGUAGGUUCAGGCUGAUGGAAACUAUUCAUAAAUUUGGAUCAAAUUUCCUCAGUAGCUUUGGUCACAGUGUACAUUUCCUUUGUUCAGAAUUCCCCUAAACCUCAAACCACAGAGUGAUUUAAUUUUAGUCACAACUAGAAGGAACAACCUUGAGACUUAAAGAGGUGUUGAAAUCAAUGAGUGUCACUUGUCUAGGCUAGACGCAUUGCUUUCCUGUAUGAUGAGACAAUUCUUUUUUUGAAGACCCAAUCAUAAUCCCACACUUGCUGAAAACAAUGUCUCUGAGCUGGAAUCACAUGAAAAUAGACAAAUACUUAUCAAUAGCUAGUAUAUUAAUAACCAAUUUAUUUAAAGAUACUUUUACUAAUAGGAAAAUCUAAAAAAUGCCUUGUGUAUAUCUUAGGCUAGGAACUCUCUGCUUACAGAACAAGUAAGAUACAGUCAGCUUGGAAGGGUCUUACAGCAUCCUUCUCCCACAAGCUCAGGCUUAUUCCAGAGGUCUGAUUCCAUCUGGUUUUACUUUUUUAUAUGACCCCAUCUCUAAAGCUAAUCAGGAGAAAUCAUAAAGAUUUUAUUGCAAUGUUUUACUUUUUUUCUUCACUAACUUUCAAAUUGUCAAUGAAACUUUUCAAAAUGUGAGCAAAUUUUCAUGGUGUAUAUUUCAAAUUUUGAAGCAUUUUACCUAGCUCUGUGGGUCUGAUACUGGCAGUUGUGCAUGCAGGACUGGUUGGGUUGAUGGUAGGUCUACAUGGUAUAUGGAGGGUAACUACAUCAGAGCUUGUGUUCAGAGUCUUAUUAAGACUCAACUUCCCAAUCUCUGUCCUUAGGUUAAUGAAAAAACUAUCAAUCACAGUUACUUUCUCUGCUAUGUGUGUAGGCAUUCCCUUUUGCUACGCAUUGCUUGACAAUUCCCUUAUGUUUUGCAUUCCUUUGCAACAACACAAAAAAUUUCCUUCUUGCUGGAAAUAGAGUCCUGCCUCUGCUUCACUUCUUGGUCUUUGUCCUACUGGUGAAAAUAGGCAAUACAUUCAGUGCCCUCAGUUCUCUGAAUACACUGUGCAGUGAAUAGCAGUGUCCUGAUUCACUCACCUAAAAAAUGUUUUCUGUUUAAAAGUUUCUCUAAUAUUUGGUUAUUUUCCUGCUUGAUUGAUUUGUUCUAAUAUGGUGUAGUAGGCACUACUACAUAAAUUGUAGUUAGUGCCCAUGUAGUCUUUCUGUAUAUUUUGUUUUUAUUUUCAUUCACCAGUCUGGUGUGCAACUGUGUAUAAAGGCAGCAUAUAUUUAUUUUGUUAACACCACCUUUUAAUUUUUUUAUUAUUCAAAAUUUAUCAGAGAAAGAUUGCUACAUUAAGUAUUUACUCUGUCAAAAAUUACAUGUCCUCUAAUUUUGUGAGUCCCAAAUCCAGGUUGCCGUAACUUCACCCAUGCAGGAACUACCUCACUAGAACCAGAGUCACAGUCUCACAGUCUCACUGUCACAGAGCCAUGGUCUUCAGGAAAUUAACCUCCUUAUAAUGUCUGCACAUGAACAUUAGUAUCUUAAAUUAAUUUUUAAAUUGAGUUUCCUUCAGCUUCUGGAAAUCAUUUAAUUUCAGCUAUCUCUGCUUUUACCAUUGCAUGCCAGACUGUACUGAAACAAAAAAAAGAGAAACCAAACUUUAUCAAAUUUACUCUGUUGAUUUGAAUGUGCUCCAUUUAACAAAUUCAAUUACUGAAGUCAAAAAAUUGUAAUCUUUAUUGUUUUUAUUUUUCAGUCUUCCUCCCUGGUUUUAAGUAAAUCUCACAUAUGGUGGGAAUUCUAUUUAUUAUGUACAGUGUCACACCUGGAAAAAAAUUGUGUAAAUAUGAAACACAAGCUUCCUUUUUAUGUAUCAAGUUAUUCAUUCUGAUGCUAAGCCACAAAAAUGAAAUUUAAAAAAUUUAGGAGCAUGUAUGUUAAUUUUGGUAUUGUUUUGUAUACUUUCAGGGAACAAGAUUUUAACAAAAAGGAAUAUUUUUAUUAAAAAUACCUCUCAAA